GAGGGUCUAGCUCAGUGGUAGAGUGCCUGCUUAGCAUGCAUGAGGUCCUGGGUUCAAUCCCCAGAAGCUCCA
rfam:Camelus ferus unplaced genomic scaffold scaffold1657, whole genome shotgun sequence.